GAUUCAAGCAGAGCAUGACCAGCAAGAAAUGUCAAAAGUCAGAGAGGGCCUACAACAGUUUGAAAAUCUAAAAGAAACGUUUGAAAAGGAAUUCAGCUUGAAAGAGGAGGAGGUUGUAACACUUCAAACAAAACUUGACAGUAAAGAAAUUGAAUUGAAGGAAAUAUUUGUCAG